UACAGAGGGUGCGAGCGUUAAUCGGAAUUACUGGGCGUAAAGCGCACGUAGUCGGCUUUGCAAGUCGGGUGUGAAAUCCCCGGGCUCAACCUGGGAACUGCAUCCAAGACUGCAUUGCUAGAGUAUGGGAGAGGGAAGCGGAAUUUCUGGUGUAGCAGUGAAAUGCGUAGAUAUCAGAAGGAACAUCAGUGGCGAAGGCGGCUUCCUGGACCAAUACUGACGAUCAGGUGCGAAAGCGUGGGGAGCAAACAGG
rnacentral:rRNA from 1 species